GAUGAAGAACGCAGCGAAAUGCGAUAAGUAGUGUGAAUUGCAGAAUUCCGUGAAUCAUCGAAUCUUUGAACGCACAUUGCGCCUUCUGGUAUUCCGGAAGGCAUGCCUGUUCGAGAGUCAUUAACAACCGUUUCGAUCCCUUUCUUUCAGAAAUUACAAAGAGGAAAAGGGUUUGGUUAUGGUGGAGGAGGGAAAGGGAGCGUUUAGCCUGUAAAAAAAGAGGCUGUGUUCCGCCUCCCCCCCAAAAUUGUACAGGCGGUCGUGUGCGCCCAUGCAUCGAGGUGUUGUAAAAGCUGCCACGGCACUUUUCACCUGUGCAGUGCGAGAUUGGCCAGCCGGUUUAAAAACCCCUCCAAACAAUCAAAGGUUGACCUCGGAUCAGGUAGGGAUACCCGCUGAACUUAAGCAUAUCAAUAAGCGGAGGA
rnacentral:misc_RNA from 1 species